UUGCCCACAGCCCAGGCUCAACUAAAAGCCUGAAUUUGCUUUGAUCUUGCCUGUUGUAGCCAAGUCGUUCGUCUUGUUUAGGUUCAAACACUGUUAGCAUCUAUAGUAAACUGUAUGGAAGAAAGCCAAGCUGCUGUUUUUACAGCCAGAAGCUAUUCUUAGAUUUUAAUAUGGAAACAGGAGCCUUUUCCGUCAGAUGUGGAAGAAAAACCUAGAGAUUCUCUGUGAGUUUCUUACCUCCUAAGCCGUUAACAGUGAAGUACAAUCAGUGGGCAAACCUCUGCUGAGACCUAAGUUCUGCAGUAGCCAUGUUUUUUGACCUUAGGCAAAGCUCAGUCACGUUUUAACAAAUCUUAACAACUACACAAACAUAGGAUUAGGAUUUCAAUGUUGAAAGAGAUAAAUGACUGGACCUUGUUAUGUGGUCAUAUCUCCCUGGGCCUUUGGGAUAGUCGGCCUACAAAAAAGUCCAGAUUAUGGCCUUGUGCACUUUGAAUUGAGACCUUUGGUUCUGGCCUAACUUACUGUGACACAGCUAAUUAUGCUGUAUGUCUCAUUUCAAAUCAAGAUAAUUCACUGCACUGGGGCAAUGUAAAUUUUAUCAUGAUUCCUUAGUUUUACUAAAUUAAAACUGCCUCCCCUCCUAAAGGAAGGCUCAGGUCUGGCCUUAUGUUUUUCCUCCCUUAAGAAGAGACUUGUAUUGAAGUUCCCAUUGUGGCUUAGUGGGUUAAGAACCCAGCACAGUGUCGUGAGGUUGUGGGUUUGAUUCGUGGCCUCACUUAGUGGGUUAAGGAUGCAUCAUUGCUGCAAGCUGCGUUUUAGGUCACAGAUGCAGCUCAGAUCUGGCAUUGCUGUGGCUGUGGUGUAGACUGGCAACUACAGAUCCGAUCUGAUCCCUAGCCUGGGAUCUUUGUAUGCCACAGGUGUGGCCCUAAAAAAGCCAAAAAAAAAGACUUGUAGUCUGUGUUCUAUUUUCCCAUUGGUUAGAAUCAUCCAUGGAUGCCCUUUGUUCUGUGAGCUUCCUGCCGAAAGAGGCCUCUGCACUAAAGGUAUUUGAUAGGGCUUAUGUCUGAUGGUGACUUUGUUACCAGGCUAAACCCGAGUCCAUUCACCUGCACCCAGUAAAGCCAAUCUACUGUUAGCAUCUAUUGCAGGACACCAAGCAAGGAGAACAGGCAACUCCUGCUCAAAAGACCCAAACUCCCGGAUGGCUUUCAGGGAAAGAGGUGCAUGGCUCAUGAUCUGCUUGUGCCCAGUUCUCAGAUUGGCUGGCAUCAAGGUGAAGUUUCAAGCAUCAUCAACCUUCUGGUUUCAACUAGUCUCUGUUAUUAUGGAAAUGCAGCUUCUACAGGUCAUAAAGGUGUAAAGAUGGGGCACGCUGGCAGGGAUGGAUCCCUGGCCGGAGAGUCCGAAGCCCCUUCCACCCCUGCAGCUCUUCUCCAAAGGGAACACUCUGUUCCUUUCCUUGGGUGAACCAGACUCAGGCCCCUGCUGGUUCUUGAGUCAGCGGGGAGGCUGACCCAGCAGCCGCCUUCUGGCCAGGUCAGUUCAGUGUCUGGGCUCUCUCUGGGCCCUGUCGUCCUUUGCUGAAAGCACCAGCUUCUUCAGCGAUGCUGAAUUCUCAUGAAAUGUUAGAGCCUCGUUGCUUUUGUUGCUUUUGUUUGCCUCAUUGCUUUUGUUUUGAUGUGUCUUAAAAUAAUUAGGCUUUUAUUCUCACAUUAUUUCCAUUCACCCCUCCCGGCUAAUGAGGCAUCUAACUCACCACACCAGGGCAGGGCGUGCUACUAUGGUAUCCAGUAAACAGUCGCUAAACAAAGCCAAAAGGCCUGCUCAGAUCAAAUUCCCUUUUGUACUUGCUCUUACAUCUGUCCUGAGCUAGGCAGUUGCUGUCAAAAAAAUGAAAUCCACUGCACCUCUAUGAGGAGUUUAAGAAAAGCAGCCGUUUGGACUUUUUCCAACAACUUCCUUGCAACAGCUUCAUUAUCCAUUUGCUAGUUAGCAAGUUGGUCUAGGAAGAAGUCUUCUUUUACUCUUGGAAAGUAUGCACUUGGAAAUGCCCAGUAAAAACCAGUAUGUGCUGAACGCCUGCUCCCUGCCAGAUUCCGAGGGUUGGGACAGCAUCGCACAGUCAGGCUGGGAACAUGGGGGCCGAGGAGAACCAACCAAGAGGCCUGGUGAGCGAUCGGCUGCCUGAGACCAGCAGAGCAUGUCACCCAGCAGUUGAGGUCAGGCAGGGUCCCUGGGAGGAAGGGACAUACUUCCCUGUCUGAGGGCGACUACCUCCCUGUCACCCAGUCCUUGCACGUGGAGCCCAAACCCACUCUAGGCAAAGGUGGCUAAGCAGCUGGUCUCCUGUCCAGCCCCCUGCGUUUUCCUUCAGACACUGCUGUCAAUUCCCAGUGUAUUUCACAACUUAGCAGUUCGAUGCCUUGGUUAUACUCUUAAUUCCUUUUCUACACAGAAUCUCAAUACUCCUUAUAAUAAUAACCCUGGGAGGAAGGAAUACUUCUUCCCAAGUAACAACAGGAAAAGUCAGAGAGGUUAAGGAAUUUGCCUAAGUCACCCAGCAAGGGGUGAAGCCAGGGUUCAGACUCUCAUGGGUCCCGUCCUCCAUCUGAUGGACCCUGGCCUUCAGAGCUGUAAUUUGCAAUUUUGGCGCCCAGGGCUAAUAGCACAAAAGCUCAGCAAAUUAUAUUGUGAUUUAUUAUGUGCCUCAAAGAACAACCAGCAGCUUCCUGUUUUAGCUGUUCUUGCUUAGGACAGUUUCUAACUGAAGAAAUUCAUGUGCUGUCAACAUGUAAAUGUCAUCCUUUUGUUUGUUUCAACAUCUGUGCCAGGCCAGAGCCUCCCUAUGGGCCUCACAUGGACUGUGCUGAGUCUGAUCCCUGGAGUUCUGCAACCUCACUGCAAACACAAAACACAGAAGAGCUAGCACAGACCAUCCCAAGUUGCUUAAAUGUCCCAUGUCCAUGCUAGACCAGAAAAGUUCUGUGUGAUCAGAAGGAGAAGUGCCCUGUUGUGGCCUAAAGAGGUUGGGGAGGCUGAAAGGAGGCGACCAGAUUGAUGUAUGGACAGGAUUUAGGGCCGGAGGGGAAUUGAAAGCGAGAAAUGGAAGCAUACAAUUGAGGCUGGGACGGGAGAGGACAUUGACAAGAGGCAGGAUGAAAAGUUGGAAAAGCACGUUGGAGCCAAACUGGUCAGAAAUUUCACUACCAGGAUGAGGAGCCGAGGGUGGAAGCUGGGAGAAGAGGCUGGAAGUGAUGCCCCAAGAGAGAGCAUGAAAACCUGUCCUAGAGUGGGAGGGCAGGGGAGAAAAGCCAGAAGCAUGCUGAAGGAAGCGUGGGCCCCUGUCCCAGGCACCCCGAAUCCCUGCUCUCUGGUGAACAGUAUAACUAACUGGGAAUGAUGAUUAACUGCUAAGGGGCAGGCCACGUUGGCUCUUGCUGGCUCUACAAUACCUUUUCUAGAAAAAAAAGUGUUACAAAGUUGCCAGUGUCCACUCCCAGCCUCUUGGAUGAUCAGCUGCCUACUUCACUCAAUUCCUCCUGUCAACCGUACUUAACUCCCUCAGCCUAUUCGCUUAUCUAUAAAAUCAGCAUAAAAUGAUUCUGCCUGCCUAGAGUUAUUGGGGGGUUGAAUGAGAUAACGCACAGAAAAUGCAAAGGACCGGGCUGGGCACCAGGAAACAUCCACCACAUAUGAGCCACCUGUGUGACAAUCUGCUCCCUUGAUCAGUUGGAACCAGCGCCUCCCAAGCCCUGAGCGUGCUCUCUGAGGACUCGCCACUGUGGAAAGUGGCUCUUUUUCACUUUCUCUGGGAAACAUUAAGCGCUGGCAAACCAGCGAUCAAGUGCAUUUAAAGUGUGAGCCCUCUUGAGUGUUGCCCAUAAGUGAAUUGGACCCAGGCAGCUUUUAAACAAGAGGGUCAGAAGUAGUUGCAUUCUGGAGUUCCCGUCGUGGCGCAGUGGUUAACGAAUCCGACUAGGAACCAUGAGGUUGCGGGUUCGGUCCCUGGCCUUGAUCAGUGGGUUAACGAUCCGGCGUUGCCGUGAGCUGUGGUGUAGGCUGCAGACGCGGCUCGGAUCCCACGUUGCUGUGGCUCUGGCGUAGGCCGGUGGCUGCAGCUCCGAUUAGACCCCUAGCCUGGGAACCUCCAUAUGCCGCGGGAGCGGCCCAAGAAAUAGCAACAACAACAACAACAAAAAGACAAAAUACAAAAAAAAAAAAAAAAAAAAGAAGUAGUUGCAUUCUGACCAUGACGUGUGAUGUCAUAGUUCCUUAUUUAUACUAUUGCUCUGCAUUCAGCCUUUUCUUGUCCCUCUGUGUUUAUGCUCUGAUGUCCUAGAGCCAAGCUGUCAGUGAGCUCCUGGAUGGGAAUCUGAGAUGCUUUGGACCUCCUCCUGGAAGGGCCUGAGCAUCCUGGAAGGGCCCUUCACACUGGACUCCAUUCAGUCCAUCCUCCCUUGACAGGCCAUGCUAUUAUGUCAUGUUAUGCAAUCCUCAUGUCAGCCCCAUGAGGUAGGAAGUGUUAAAUACAUUGUUAUAUGUGAAGAAAUAGAAUCUUGGUGGAAGGAUCUUGCCCACACUUAUGCUUCUGCCCAGCCCUGCAACCAGAAAUCUACCUCUUAUAUAUGUCCCUGAGGCCCUGGCUUUCUUGCACAUGCUUCUUUCCCAGGCUGUCGCUCUAAGCCUCACAGUAAGCCUGGUACAGCUGCUACUAUGAUUUUCAGGUUUAGCAUUUUUUGUUGCUGCUACAGGAUGCUUGAGAAGUCUGUUUCAUAAUGGUGAUUUGCUCUAAUCAUUACCUAUAAUCUGUGUACUUGGGAAUAAAUGUAAAUACUGCAAGCU
rnacentral:lncRNA from 1 species